ACUCCUACGGGAGGCAGCAGUCGGGAAUUUUGGGCAAUGGGCGAAAGCCUGACCCAGCAACGCCGCGUGAGGGAUGAAGGCCUUCGGGUCGUAAACCUCUGUCGGAAGGGAAGAAAGGUCACUGUUCGAAUAGGCCAGUGGCUUGACGGUACCUUCAAAGGAAGUACCGGCUAACUCCGUGCCAGCAGCCGCGGUAAUACGGAGGGUACGAGCGUUGUUCGGAAUUACUGGGCGUAAAGCGCGUGUAGGCGGCCAGGCAAGUCGGAUGUGAAAUCCCGGGGCUUAACCCCGGAACUGCACCCGAAACUGCAUGGCUCGAGUCUCGGAGGGGGUGGCGGAAUUUCCGGUGUAGAGGUGAAAUUCGUAGAUAUCGGAAGGAACACCAGUGGCGAAGGCGGCCACCUGGACGAUGACUGACGCUGAGACGCGAAAGCGUGGGGAGCAAACAGGAUUAGAUACCCUGGUAGCUACGAGU
rnacentral:rRNA from 1 species